rnacentral:tRNA from 1 species
CCCUGGGUGGUGUAAAUGGUUAAUAUGCUCAACUGCUGACUGAAAAGUUGGAGGUUUGAGUCCUCCCAAAGGUA